rnacentral:lncRNA from 12 species
UCUGUCCCAUGGGAUGUAAGAACUCUGUCUGGUGACUUUGGGGAAAGGCUCUGCCCCUGACGGCAGAGGGAGGUGACGAAAGGCAAGCUCUGUGGCCCUGGGCCCCUGUCGCCUUCCUAACUGCUCCCGGGAUGUAACAUUAGAAGCCACGGCAGCUGUGACCUUAAAAGGAGACAUUCCAGGCCCCACUGGAUGGGAGAGCAGGGAGGAGGAACGACCCGGGGUCCAGGCAAGCUUGGUGAGCCUGGAGCUAACCCAGAACCAACCCAGGGCUUGGAGCAGACAGAUGGCCGGCAACGCCAAAGGCUGCGUGUGUUAAAAUAUGCAUUGGCCGGAAAGAGCCUGAGGUCUUCUGUGACCAGGAUCCAGUGCCCAGGCAGCCCUGGGGCUCAGCCUGCAGGUGGGUUGCACGAAGGUUCGAAGGCAUCACACAUCCAAGCAACACACUCGUCCUCAGGAGGUCGCCAUGGCACGGAACUGUCUGCUGCCUGAUGGGGAGGGCUUCUCAUUGCUCUCUCCACGGUGUGCGUAAGAACACCAAGGCCUCAAGGAUUGCCCCAGGUCACCCCGCUGUACUGCUGGCCCUCGGAUUCCCUCAUCAACCUGUUCAUUCCAGACGUGCAGCCAGCAGGUCCCAAGGCAAAUAUGAGCUCUGGACCAGCACCAUACACCCCAGGGCUGAUAAGGUCAUACAGCUGCUCUCCCAGCACAGCCGCACCGUGGUGAGCCGGGCCGUGAGCUGGUAUGUAGACCAAUCGGGCCGUGUUUUCUACACGUUCUGUGCUGUGGGUCCACGCGAGAGUGGGGGAACGAGUGCGUGUGCAGAGCAGAGCUAGGGCCGCCACACAAAUAGUAUUUCCAAACUGGCAAACCCGCAAACACACGAAAGGCAAACAUUUUCGACAGCGAAUAUAUGCCCCCUUCUUCCCGCCCCGCGCAGCUAAACUGUAAUAGGAACAGCCAUUAUUCGCAGUAUCCCAGGGAUUCCUCAUUUGUUUUGCAUUAUGAGAAAUAAGGAGUCCUUGUGAAGUGCUUUUCCCCAUAGAUGUGACUUUUGAAUCCAAAUACCAAUGACGAUCUUUGUAAGUCACAUGCUCUCUGCUCUGCUGGUCUCAGAAGGGGUCGAGCUAAUGGGGUUUCCUGACUGUACCGAAG